AACUAUUGGAGGGCAAGUCUGGUGCCAGCAGCCGCGGUAAUUCCAGCUCCAAUAGCGUAUAUUAAAAUUGUUGCGUCUAAAAAGCUCGUAGUUUGAAAACUUGCCUUGGCUUACAAUCGGUCCGCAUGGGCCACCGUUUGUUGAGCGCAAAUAUAGAUGACUGUUUUUGCCGACUUAGUUGUUGGGCUUACAAGAGUUAUCAAAUAUCACUUUGAUUAAAUUAGAGUGCUUAAAGCAAGUGUGUUACUUGGAUAUAAAUGCAUGGAAUGAUGGAAUAUGUUGUUGUUCUAUUUGUUGGUUUUG
rnacentral:rRNA from 1 species